UUUCUUAUUUGGCAGUUGGAAUACCACGAUCAAGAAGGUAGUUUCCCCAGAAUGAGGCUCUCCCACUGCACUUUUCGGUUGGGUAGACCCCUGUGAUUUCCCCAAAUGUGGGAAUCGCAACUGCAUAAUGUAGGAUAGUGUGGGCCUGCAUUCAUGCAGUUCCCUU